GGCUUGCCACAAACCGAUUUCAAGUCUUCUCCUUCAGACCCAGGGGCUGGAGAAGCUGUCCCUCCAAGGCUCCCUGGCACCUACUGGGGGGACAUGUACCUCUCUAAACGGGCCCUGAAGCCGAAAUGCUUUGUUAUGCUCAAAACAAUAAAUAAGGUUCCGAGUGAAGCCUUCAGAAUAAAAGAUUGGUUAGUGUAAUAUCCCUAGUGCAGCUAUCAACGUGGUCAUAAGAACUAUGAACUACAGCGUGGGCCUCGGGUCCGUUGGAGGCACCGCACCGCCUGGGACACUUUCGGGCUGCCCCUGCACCGGCAGCCCCCGCUGCUGUCCCCCCGCCCGCCGGCCCCGGGGGUCGCGGGGCGCUGUCCCGGCGGCGGGGAGCGCCGGUGUGCGGGCAGCGCCGGUGUGCGGGCAGCGCCGGCGGCGGGGCCGGGUCCGCAGCCCCCUCAGCCGCCCUCAGCCCCCGCCCGCCCGUCCGCCCGCGCGCGGGGAGGGGGCGUCGCGGGGCGCCCCCUGGCGGCCGGCCGGGGCCAGGCGGAGCGCGCCCAAAGUUGAUUUUGUUCAGCAAGCCGUAUCGUAUAAAAUUAACGACAGCCAAUAAAAUUAGCUUACAUGUUUCAACCGUAAAAGUCCAAAACAAAAUAAAGCUAGUUUUAGUGAAGCUAAGAAGCUCUGC
rnacentral:lncRNA from 1 species